rnacentral:rRNA from 1 species
UGCGUAGGCGGACUAAUAAGUCAGUGGUGAAAUCUCUCGGCUCAACCGGGAAACUGCCAUUGAUACUGUUAGUCUUGAGUUCGGUUGAGGUAGGCGGAAUGUGUAAUGUAGCGGUGAAAUGCUUAGAUAUUACACAGAACACCAAUUGCGUAGGCAGCUUACUAGACCGACACUGACGCUGAGGCACGAAAGCGUGGGGAGCGAACAGGAUUAGAUACCCCUGGUAGUCC